rnacentral:rRNA from 1 species
UACGAAGGUGGCAAGCGUUGUUCGGAUUUACUGGGCGUACAGGGAGCGUAGGCGGUUGGGUAAGCCCUCCGUGAAAUCUCCGGGCCUAACCCGGAAAGGGCGGAGGGGACUGCUCGGCUAGAGGAUGGGAGAGGAGCGCGGAAUUCCCGGUGUAGCGGUGAAAUGCGUAGAGAUCGGGAGGAAGGCCGGUGGCGAAGGCGGCGCUCUGGAACACUUCUGACGCUGAGGCUCGAAAGCGUGGGGAGCAAACGGG